AUGCGUGAACUACUGCAACAACAGCUCAAGCAGGCGCAAGACCGUAUGAAGCGGCAGGCCGACAAGCACCGCACUGAUCGAGAGUUCGAGGUGGGCGACGCGGUGUACUUACGACUCCAGCCAUACAUACAGACGUCCGUAGCGCAACGACCGUUCCAGAAGCUGGCCUUCAGGUAUUUUGGUCCAUACCCAGUCGUAGCGCGCGUGGGCAAAGUGGCAUACAAACUUCAGUUGCCAGUCGGAAGCAAGAUACAUCCGGUGGUACACGUCUCCCAGCUCAAGAAGGCGAUCGGCUCCGACAUUCAGGUGCGCUGGACAGGCCUGCCAGCAUCUAUGGCUACGUGGGAAGACCUGAUGCUGCUCCGACAACGAUUUCCUGCAUUGCUGGCUUGGGGACAAGCCAGUUUCCAAGAAGGGGAGAAUGUCAGUACCACUACACCACCCCAACUGCCAGAGUGGCCCAAGACCCAGGCGGGACCACCAGUCGGCGACCAGAGGCGAGAAGAGGAGCGGAACGAGUCCUAG
rnacentral:rRNA from 1 species